UGAAUAGGUAGAGGCUGCAUUGCUUAAUAGUACUAUACGUGAGGAUGACAACGUAGAUCGUUUAGGAAAGGAAGCAAUGCCGAAAUUAAAUGUUCAUGUCCUAUAACAUUUAGUUGGGGUUAUUUUAAAGAGGAAUAACACUGCCAUUUAUAUGGAAUCAUAUAAAUGGUGAGCUACAGAGUAU
rnacentral:ncRNA from 2 species